rnacentral:tRNA from 1 species
CUCCUGGUAGUCGAGUCAGGUUACGGCGCUUGCUGACGAGCGAGAGGCGUGGGUUCAAAUCCCACCCAGGGGA